AUGCUGGGAUCCAUCACCCUCCUACUCGCCUCCCUGCUCCCUGCUGGACAGACGGCUCUCUCCCUGAACCAGCCAACAGUCUCCAUCACCAGACAGUAUGGGAAGCCCGCAACGAUUCUCUGUGAGUUUUCUGACAGUAGGAUCACGUACAUCCACUGGUAUCUCCAGCAGCCCGGGAAGGCUCCCCAGCGCCUGCUCUACUUUAACAUGGCCACGUCGCUAACCACGAUGGAUUCAGGAUUUAGCUCCUGGAAAUUCCAAGCUGACAAGAUUGAUGAUCAAAGCUGCACCCUGAUGAUCAGGGACCUGGGGUGGAGUGAUGCUGGCAUCUAUUACUGUGCCAGCUGGGACUCCAUGGUGACACAGAUCCCUCUGCCCUUCACACAAAAACUCACUCUGUGGUGA